AUGAACGCUAGCGGCAGGCUUAACACAUGCAAGUCGAGGGGUAACAGGGAGAAGCUUGCUUUUCUGCUGACGACCGGCGCACGGGUGCGUAACGCGUAUAGAAUCUACCUUGUACAGGGGAAUAGCCCAGAGAAAUUUGGAUUAAUGCCCCAUAAUAUUAUUUAUUGGCAUCAUUAAGUAAUUAAACAUUUAUGGGUACAAGAUGACUAUGCGUCCUAUUAGUUAGUUGGUAAGGUAAUGGCUUACCAAGACAUCGAUAGGUAGGGGUCCUGAGAGGGAGAUCCCCCACACUGGUACUGAGACACGGACCAGACUCCUACGGGAGGCAGCAGUGAGGAAUAUUGGACAAUGGAGGUAACUCUGAUCCAGCCAUGCCGCGUGAAGGAAGACUGCCCUAUGGGUUGUAAACUUCUUUUAUAUAGGAAGAAACACUGGUAUGUAUACCAGCUUGACGGUACUAUAUGAAUAAGGACCGGCUAACUCCGUGCCAGCAGCCGCGGUAAUACGGAGGGUCCAAGCGUUAUCCGGAAUCAUUGGGUUUAAAGGGUCCGUAGGCGGAGUAAUAAGUCAGAGGUGAAAUCCCAUAGCUCAACUAUGGAACUGCCUUUGAUACUGUUAUUCUUGAGUUAUUUGGAAGUAGAUAGAAUGUGUAGUGUAGCGGUGAAAUGCAUAGAUAUUACACAGAAUACCGAUUGCGAAGGCAGUCUACUACGAAUAUACUGACGCUGAUGGACGAAAGCGUGGGUAGCGAACAGGAUUAGAUACCCUGGUAGUCCACGCCGUAAACGAUGGACACUAGUUGUUGGGAUUUAUCUCAGUGACUAAGCGAAAGUGAUAAGUGUCCCACCUGGGGAGUACGGUCGCAAGAUUGAAACUCAAAGGAAUUGACGGGGGCCCGCACAAGCGGUGGAGCAUGUGGUUUAAUUCGAUGAUACGCGAGGAACCUUACCAGGGCUUAAAUGUAGGAUGCAUUAGUUAGAGAUAGCUAUUUCUUCGGACUUCUUACAAGGUGCUGCAUGGUUGUCGUCAGCUCGUGCCGUGAGGUGUCAGGUUAAGUCCUAUAACGAGCGCAACCCCUAUUUUUAGUUGCUAACAGGUUAAGCUGAGGACUCUAGAGAGACUGCCGGUGCAAACCGCGAGGAAGGUGGGGAUGACGUCAAAUCAUCACGGCCCUUACGUCCUGGGCUACACACGUGCUACAAUGGUAUAGACAGAGAGCAGCCACCUGGUGACAGGGAGCGAAUCUAUAAAGUAUAUCACAGUUCGGAUCGGAGUCUGCAACUCGACUCCGUGAAGCUGGAAUCGCUAGUAAUCGGAUAUCAUCAUGAUCCGGUGAAUACGUUCCCGGGCCUUGCACACACCGCCCGUCAAGGCGA
rnacentral:rRNA from 1 species